GGGGUUGUGGCUCAGUGGUAGAGUGCUCACCUCUCAUGUGAGAGGCCCUGGGUUCGAUCCUCAGGACCACA
rnacentral:tRNA from 1 species